rnacentral:rRNA from 1 species
UACGUAGGGGGCAAGCGUUGUCCGGAAUUAUUGGGCGUAAAGAGCGCGUAGGCGGUCCGAUAAGUCGGCUGUGAAAGUCAUGGGCUCAACCCAUGAAAGCCGGCCGAUACUGUCGGACUAGAGUCCGGAAGAGGCGAGUGGAAUUCCUGGUGUAGCGGUGAAAUGCGCAGAUAUCAGGAGGAACACCAAUGGCGAAGGCAGCUCGCUGGGACGUGACUGACGCUGAGACGCGAAAGCGUGGGGAGCAAACAGG